rnacentral:rRNA from 1 species
AGAAUCAACGCUGGCGGCGUGCCUAACACAUGCAAGUCGAACGAGAAAGGGGAGCAAUCCCUGAGUAAAGUGGCGACCGGGUGAGUAACACGUGACUAACCUACCCUCGAGUGUGGAAUAACAUCGGGAAACCGAUGCUAAUACCGCAUAACAUCGGCGCUUUUAAGAGAUGCCGAUCAAAGGAGCAAUCCGCUUGAGGAGGGGGUCGCGGCUGAUUAGCUAGUUGGCGGGUAACGGCCCACCAAGGCGAAGAUCGGUAGCCGGCCUGAGAGGGCGCACGGCCACACUGGAACUGAAACACGGUCCAGACUCCUACGGGAGGCAGCAGUGGGGAAUUUUGCGCAAUGGGGGAAACCCUGACGCAGCAACGCCGCGUGGAGGAUGAAGCCCCUUGGGGCGUAAACUCCUUUCGACCAAGACGAUAAUGACGGUACUGGUGGAAGAAGCACCGGCUAACUCUGCGCCAGCAGCCGC